AACGAACGCUGGCGGCAGGCUUAACACAUGCAAGUCGAACGCCCCGCAAGGGGAGUGGCAGACGGGUGAGUAACACGUGGGGAUCUGCCCAAUGGUACGGAAUAAUUCCGGGAAACUGGGACUAAUACCGUAUGUGCCCGCAAGGGGAAAGAUUUAUCGCCAUUGGAUGAACCCGCGUCGGAUUAGCUAGUUGGUGAGGUAAAGGCUCACCAAGGCGACGAUCCGUAGCUGGUCUGAGAGGAUGAUCAGCCACACUGGGACUGAGACACGGCCCAGACUCCUACGGGAGGCAGCAGUGGGGAAUAUUGGACAAUGGGCGCAAGCCUGAUCCAGCCAUGCCGCGUGAGUGAUGAAGGCCUUAGGGUUGUAAAGCUCUUUCGCCGACGAAGAUAAUGACGGUAGUCGGAGAAGAAGCCCCGGCUAACUUCGUGCCAGCCGCCGCGGUAAGAC
rnacentral:rRNA from 1 species